CGACGUCAAAGCGUUCAUUAAAGUCGAGUUGGCUUAGGGAUACGUUCGUUGGGUAGGGGAGCGUUCUGUAAGCCGUUGAAGGUGGCCUGUGAGGGUUGCUGGAGGUAUCAGAAGUGCGAAUGCUGACAUAAGUAACGAUAAAGCGGGUGAAAAGCCCGCUCGCCGGAAGACCAAGGGUUCCUGUCCAACGUUAAUCGGGGCAGGGUGAGUCGACCCCUAAGGCGAGGCCGAAAGGCGUAGUCGAUGGGAAACGGGUUAAUAUUCCCGUACUUGGUGUUACUGCGAAGGGGGGACGGAGAAGGCUAUGUUGGCCGGGCGACGGUUGUCCCGGUUUAAGCGUGUAGGUGUGUGUUCCAGGUAAAUCCGGUUCACUUUAACACUGAGGCGUGACGACGAGGCACUACGGUGCUGAAGCAACAAAUGCCCUGCUUCCAGGAAAAGCCUCUAAGCAUCAGGUAACAUCAAAUCGUACCCCAAACCGACACAGGUGGUCAGGUAGAGAAUACCAAGGCGCUUGAGAGAACUCGGGUGAAGGAACUAGGCAAAAUGGUGCCGUAACUUCGGGAGAAGGCACGCUGACACGUAGGUGAAGUGAUUUACUCAUGGAGCUGAAGUCAGUCGAAGAUACCAGCUGGCUGCAACUGUUUAUUAAAAACACAGCACUGUGCAAACACGAAAGUGGACGUAUACGGUGUGACGCCUGCCCGGUGCCGGAAGGUUAAUUGAUGGGGUCAGCGCAAGCGAAGCUCCUGAUCGAAGCCCCGGUAAACGGCGGCCGUAACUAUAACGGUCCUAAGGUAGCGAAAUUCCUUGUCGGGUAAGUUCCGACCUGCACGAAUGGCGUAAUGAUGGCCAGGCUGUCUCCACCCGAGACUCAGUGAAAUUGAACUCGCUGUGAAGAUGCAGUGUACCCGCGGCAAGACGGAAAGACCCCGUGAACCUUUACUAUAGCUUGACACUGAACAUUGAGCCUUGAUGUGUAG
rnacentral:rRNA from 1 species